UGGGGAAUAUUGGACAAUGGGCGCAAGCCUGAUCCAGCCAUGCCGCGUGGAUGAUGAAGGCCCUAGGGUUGUAAAGUCUUUUCGACGGGGAAGAUAAUGACGGUACCCGUAGAAGAAGCCCCGGCUAACUUCGUGCCAGCAGCCGCGGUAAUACGAAGGAUGCAAGCGUUAUCCGGAUUCAUUGGGUUUAAAGGGUGCGUAGGCGGACUGAUAAGUCAGUGGUGAAAUCUCUCGGCUUAACCGAGAAACUGCCAUUGAUACUGUUAGUCUAGAGUACAGAUGAUGUGGGCGGAAUAUGACAUGUAGUGGUGAAAUACUUAGAUAUGUCAUAGAACACCGAUUGCGAAGGCAGCUCACAAAACUGUAACUGACGCUGAGGCACGAAAGUGCGGGGAUCAAACAGGAUUAGAUACCCCGGUAGUCCCUGAGCGGGCUGGCAAGGCGCAU
rnacentral:rRNA from 1 species